AGGGUUCGAUUCUGGCUCAGGAUGAACGCUGGCGGCGUGCUUAACACAUGCAAGUCGAGCGAGAAUUCUAACGGAAGCUCGGUGGAAGUUGAGGAAGGAAGCGGCGGACGGGUGAGUAACGCGUGGGUAACCUACCUUAUACAGGGGGAUAACAUAGUGAAAACUAUGCUAAUACCCCCAUAAGACCACAGGGUCGCAUGGCCUAGUGGUAAAAACUCCGGUGGUAUAAGAUGGACCCGCGUCUGAUUAGCUAGUAGGUAGGGUAAAAGCCUACCUAGGCAACGAUCAGUAGCCGACCUGAGAGGGUGAUCGGCCACAUUGGGACUGAGACACGGCCCAAACUCCUACGGGAGGCAGCAGUGGGGAAUAUUGCACAAUGGAGGGAACUCCUGAUGCAGCGACGCCGCGUGAAGGAAGAAGGUUUUCGGAUCGUAAACUUCUAUCAGCAGGGAAGAAAAUGACGGUACCUGACUAAGAAGCCCCGGCUAACUACGUGCCAGCCGCUGC
rnacentral:rRNA from 1 species